AUGUACGACGCGUACAUCCCGCUUACUCCACAUCGUCCGCGCCCACCUGACAACCACUCGCUACGUCUUGUCAGCC
rnacentral:sRNA from 1 species